rnacentral:tRNA from 1 species
GGAGAGGUGGCUGAGCGGCUGAAAGCGGCGGAUUGCUAAUCCGCUAUACAACCUAAAAAUUGUAUCGAGGGUUCGAAUCCCUCCCUCUCCG